ACUCCUACGGGAGGCAGCAGUGGGGAAUAUUGCACAAUGGGCGCGAGCCUGAUGCAGCCAUGCCGCGUGUAUGAAGAAGGCCUUCGGGUUGUAAAGUACUUUCAGCAGUGAGGAAGGUGGGUAUGUUAAUAGCAUAUUCAUUUGACGUUAGCUGCAGAAGAAGCACCGGCUAACUCCGUGCCAGCAGCCGCGGUAAUACGGAGGGUGCGAGCGUUAAUCGGAAUUACUGGGCGUAAAGCGCAUGCAGGUGGUUUGUUAAGUCAGAUGUGAAAGCCCGGGGCUCAACCUCGGAAUUGCAUUUGAAACUGGCAAACUAGAGUACUGUAGAGGGGGGUAGAAUUUCAGGUGUAGCGGUGAAAUGCGUAGAGAUCUGAAGGAAUACCGGUGCGAAGGCGGCCCCCUGGACAGAUACUGACACUCAGAUGCGAAAGCGUGGGGAGCAAACAGGAUUAGAUACCCUGGUAGCGUAG
rnacentral:rRNA from 1 species